GUGGGUAGUUUGACUGGGGCGGUCUCCUCCUAAAGAGUAACGGAGGAGCACGAAGGUUGGCUAAUCCUGGUCGGACAUCAGGAGGUUAGUGCAAUGGCAUAAGCCAGCUUGACUGCGAGCGUGACGGCGCGAGCAGGUGCGAAAGCAGGUCAUAGUGAUCCGGUGGUUCUGAAUGGAAGGGCCAUCGCUCAACGGAUAAAAGGUACUCCGGGGAUAACAGGCUGAUACCGCCCAAGAGUUCAUAUCGACGGCGGUGUUUGGCACCUCGAUGUCGGCUCAUCACAUCCUGGGGCUGAAGUAGGUCCCAAGGGUAUGGCUGUUCGCCAUUUAAAGUGGUACGCGAGCUGGGUUUAGAACGUCGUGAGACAGUUCGGUCCCUAUCUGCCGUGGGCGCUGGAGAACUGAGGGGGGCUGCUCCUAGUACGAGAGGACCGGAGUGGACGCAUCACUGGUGUUCGGGUUGUCAUGCCAAUGGCAC
rnacentral:rRNA from 2 species